rnacentral:tRNA from 1 species
GCCGGUGUAGCUCAGUGGUAGAGCAAUGCUUUCGUAAAGCAUGGGUCGCGGGUUCGAUUCCCAUCACCGGCU